GGGUGUGGCUCAGCUUGGCUAGAGCGCUUGAUUUGGGAUCAAGAGGUCGCAGGUUCGAAUCCUGUCACCCC
rnacentral:tRNA from 1 species